rnacentral:miRNA from 1 species
UUCUCCCACUACCAGGCUCCCA